rnacentral:rRNA from 1 species
UACGUAGGGGGCAAGCGUUGUCCGGAAUCAUUGGGCGUAAAGAGCGCGUAGGCGGUCCGGUAAGUCCGCUCUGAAAGUCCGGGGCUCAACCCCGGGAGGCGGGCGGAUACUGCCGGGCUAGAGUCCGGAAGAGGCGAGUGGAAUUCCUGGUGUAGCGGUGAAAUGCGUAGAUAUCAAGAGGAACACCUGCGGCGAAGGCGGGUUGCUGGGCCGACACUGACGCUGAGGCGCGAAAGCUAGGGGAGCGAACGGG